AGAAAAUGGGCACACGUUCCCUAAUCCAGGCAGUCUGCCAAACUCUUCCAUGCACCCUACCUGCCUGCUAUCUUAAGUCUCCCGAAUAAGUGAGAAAACCCGAUCCACUUGCAGAUGUAGUCUACAUGUUAGCUCUCUGGUCGGCAUCGAGAUUUAAUUUUAAAAAAAAAAGAAAGAAAAGAAAGAAAGAAAUAAAACAUCAUCAUCACCAAGAACAACAACAACAACAAGGACAACAACAACAAAAAUCCCACUACGUCUCUUCCUGGACUGAAAACUUUUUUAACGGGAGUUAACGUCGCUUGUAGCUACACACUACACCACAGGCUUUAAGGAGGCCUUUGAGAAAAGAAGAACGUAUCUAAAUCCUUUUCGGGGCCGGUUCGAGAUGCUUCGAGAAGGUUGCGAUGGACUUCGACAGGAAACAUGGCGACAACACUGUUGGCAAAAUGAUUAACACAUUAAAAAAGACGAAGUGGACGUCCACGGACGAAGAGGGACAUAUCAAACAAAGGCCAGCUACGUGCUAAGUGUUCAGGAAGGAGCAUCAGAGCAGCGACAAGAGCUCAGAAGGAUCUGAACCCUGAAAUGAGAGGAGCCGGCCUGUUGGAUCAACAGCCUAAAGAGGAGGCUCAGGGCCCGUGCCUGCGACGCCCAUCCCAGAAAAGGCUGGCAGGGGGUAGUUCCCUCACAUCAACAAAAUAUGCCCCCUUCCAUCUAGUGCCACCUGUUCAGGAGCGGUCUGCUCUGAGCCAGCUAAUGACAGCGCCAGCAAAAGGGGCGUGUCAGGCAUCCUUACCGCGCUGCUAUUGGCUGGCCGCAUUGCAUCAUUUAUGCCCCCUGAAGCCAGCAAACCAAUCAUACAGUGCCAUCUGGAAAGGUCCGUCUCAUUGGCGUGUUGCGGUUUAGCACAGAGCCCUCUGUUUGGCAAGGUUCAAAGUACAACAUGUUGGCAGCUUAAAUUGUAUUUUUUUUUAUUUUUUUUUUUAGGAUGAUCUGAAUUGUGUGGUCACAGUUUGUUUAUUUUUAUUUUGCGACAGAAUAUUAGUAAUGAGGUGACGGGUUCCCUUGUAUAUUAGACAUGGACUGUUUGCCAACCUGCCGAUACAUUUAAACUCGAUGAUGACACAAAACAUGCAUGCAGACUGUAGCGCAUCACAGAACAUCGCUGCGAGAAGAGCGUUUAACAACAAAACAAGUAUCAUGAAGGAUCAUGUGAUUCCGGGCAAAACUAUUCGCACCCACCUGAAUGAAAUUAUGAUUAUGGGACUCGGGCAAUAUAACCCAACAUGAUGAUCAAACGACGUCAGAAUAGAGGAUUUAGACGGCACCGUUUCGACAGGUUCAAGUAUAUAUAUAUGAUUGAAUAUAUAAUAUGCGAUUUUAAUAUUAGACUGACCAGGAUAUGUACUUUGAACACAAUGCUCUGAACGACAAUUAUUUUACUGAAUAAAGUGUUCAGACUACAUUAAGAAUAUGGAAUUCAAAAAGAAAUAAAUAGCCUGUUUGUGUGUUCGAUUUCCCACAUGCACACCCAGACGAUGUAAACCAUCUUCUCCUUACCAAGUGGCAAACGGGUCUCUGUGGAACUCAGUGGCUAGUUCAGACAAUACGUGUGUGUGUGUGUGUGUGUGUGUGUGUGUGUGUGUGUGUGUGUGUGUGUGUGUGUGUGUGCGUGCUUAAUGAGCCUUCAUCAUAUUCCAACCUACCUGCAGAUAUAGACACACCGGUGAAUGGAAAGCUGCUCGGAUUGCUGCGCUGCAUGCUUAAUCUCCCCCAGCGAUUAGUCGAAUUAUACCCUGGCCAAAAUCUGUGGCUUUCGAAUGCGUGUAUCCUUGUGCAACAAAUUAUGAAAUAUAAAAAUAAAUACCUUUACUUCAACCA